CAGUCGCCGCGGUAAUACGUAGGGUGCAAGCGUUAAUCGGAAUUACUGGGCGUAAAGCGUGCGCAGGCGGUUAUAUAAGACAGAUGUGAAAUCCCCGGGCUCAACCUGGGAACUGCAUUUGAGACUGUAUAGCUAGAGUACGGCAGAGGGGGAUGGAAUUCCGCGUGUAGCAGUGAAAUGCGUAGAUAUGCGGAGGAACACCGAUGGCGAAGGCAAUCCCCUGGGCCUGUACUGACGCUCAUGCACGAAAGCGUGGGGAGCAAACAGGAUUAGAUACCCGUGUAGUCCCUGUCUCUUAUAC
rnacentral:rRNA from 1 species